UCCGGCUUCUCGCCGGCAGUCCUCUUCGAGUGCCCGGCAUAACCCGCUUUAACUAGCAUGUCAAGUCUAGGUAAGGUUCUUCGCGUUGCAUCGAAUUAAGCCACAUGCUCCGCCGCUUGUGCGGGUCCCCGUCAAUUCCUUUGAGUUUUAGCCUUGCGGCCGUACUCCCCAGGCGGGGUGCUUAAUGCGUUAGCUGCGGCACGGAGAGGGUUGAAGACCUCCCCACACCUAGCACCCAACGUUUACGGCUGGGACUAC
rnacentral:misc_RNA from 1 species